rnacentral:rRNA from 1 species
UACAGAGGUCCCGAGCGUUGUUCGGAUUUACUGGGCGUAAAGGGCGCGUAGGCGGCCACCGCAAGUCGACUGUGAAAUCUCCGGGCUUAACCCGGAAAGGUCAGCCGAUACUGCGGGGCUAGAGUGCAGAAGGGGCAACUGGAAUUCUCGGUGUAGCGGUGAAAUGCGUAGAUAUCGAGAGGAACACCUGCGGCGAAGGCGGGUGCUGGGCUGACACUGACGCUGAUGUGCGAAAGCUAGGGGAGCGAACGGG